UACGUAGGCAGCGAGCGUUGUUCGGAAUUACUGGGCGUAAAGAGUGUGUAGGCGGUGCUCUAAGUUCGGUGUGAAAUCUCUCGGCUUAACUGGGAGGGUGCGCCGGAAACUGGAGUGCUCGAACGUGGGAGAGGAAAGCGGAAUUCCUGGUGUAGCGGUGAAAUGCGUAGAGAUCGAUAGGAACACCAGUGGCGAAGGCGGCCUCCUGGGGCACUCUUGACGCUGAGGCGCGGAAAGCUGGGGGGAGCGAACGGGG
rnacentral:rRNA from 1 species